rnacentral:rRNA from 1 species
AACGCUGGCGGCGCGCUUAAUACAUGCAAGUCGAGCGAGAACUAGGGCUUCGGCCCUGGGGACAGCGGCGAACGGGUGAGUAACACGUGGGUAAUCAACCCCCGACACCGGGUUAGCCCAGGGAAACUUGGAUUAAUACCGGAUGCCCCAUCUGGCUUUCGAGCCGGCUGGAAAAGGGUAGCUUCGGCCUCCGGUCGGGGACGAGCCCGCGGCGGAUUAGCUUGUUGGUGAGGUAAAGGCUCACCAAGGCGACGAUCCGUAGCUGGUCUGAGAGGACGAUCAGCCACACUGGGACUGAGACCCGGCCCAGACUCCUACGGGAGGCAGCAGUAGGGAAUCUUGCGCAAUGGGCGAAAGCCUGACGCAGCGACGCCGCGUGAGGGAAGAAGGCCUUCGGGUUGUAAACUGCUUUUGUACGGAACGAAAAGACUCUGGUUAAUACCUGGGGUCCAUGACGGUACCGUAAGAAUAAGCACCGGCUAACUACGUGCCAGCCGCCGCAGUAA